CUAACAUGGCGGCGCCCUCUGUGUGUCCUGAGUGCCGUCCCGCCUUCCUGCGGCCGUGACGCCCUCUGCUGCGGUGGGGUCCGGGACACGGCGGGUGAGGGUAAUGUGCUGGAGCAGGAGAGCCAAGCUGGAGUUUCCCUGGACAAGCCGUCGGAACAGAGUAGCCUGGGCUUCUUGGAAAUCUGAGUGUGUCCCCAAACCCCCGCCUCUGGUGUACAACCAAAGGAGGAAUCACGACUGUUCCAGUGCUGGAGGGAAAGCUGGCUGAGAGAAUCCGUUCUGUCCCCAGCGCGACUGGAUUGCUGACUCUGAUGAUGGGCCUGGUAAUCUCCUUCUGCUGACUCCAAAAGUCCUGAGUCGGCCGUUUGACCCUUAAGACAGUGCCUUCCUGUCCUGGGCUUGCUCCUACGCUGCCUUCCACAGUCGGUCUAACUGCUGGGUCUGCGGAGCACUCCCCUCUUCAUCGGUGGAAGGCUUCCCGUGGUGGACGUCUCCACUUAAAGGAGAAGACUUUCUCUAAGUCUGCGAAUACCUUUGGCAACAACAAUCAUAUGUGAUGCCUCUUCUUCAUCUGAUGACGUCUCACAGUUGUAAAGUGGACUGGUGUAACACUUUGUGCCUCAGCUAUGGACGUAAUGUGACUUUUACCGUUGCGGAUUGUUCUGUUCUCGCUGUUUGCGCCCAGCAUCUGUAACUGUGUAGCUGGAUUUGUUUCUAGGUGCAUGAAAGCUUUUAAGUUACAAAUGGUUGCUCAAACUCCUGCCACUGCGCAGCUUCCUCCAGCUACUCCUCCAACUACUGCUGGGGGCCCCUGGAUCGGAGACCCUGAAUAUGAGGGUUAGGAGAAUAUGUUGCCUCACCAAUUCAGAGAUGAUGCCCCUUUGCUUAGGCGACGUAAUCCUCCUAAAAGAAAAGGGGGACUGAGAGGGUAACCGGCAGAAAGGCCAGGGGUCUCCAAACGGAGGAAACGGGCUGCACGCGCCAGACGCUUUUUCUCUCCUAAGCGGCAGGAGGAGACAAACUGCAAGUGUCAGGUUUGGGGCGUCCCUGGGGCUCAGCUGGCGAAGAAUCCCCUGCGAGGCGGGAGGCCCCAGUUCGAUCCCUGGGCUGGGAAGAUCCUCUGGAGAAGGGAAAGGCUGCCCACUCCAGUACUCUGGCCUGGGGAAUCCCAUGGACUGUAUAGUCCAUGGGGUCACAAAGAAUUGGACACGACUGAGUGACUUUAAAUAUAAAUGUAAAAUAUAAAGUUAAAAAGAGGUUUGUUUUAAAGUCUGUGUUGCCGUGAUGACACCUGGUUCCACCUGAACUUCUCAAACCUUGAGCUAACCAACGCACUUUUCUUACAGAAAUGCUUUCUGAGCUAUGUUAAUGAACUGUGCAUUUACCCUAGGCUCUGUCUUCAAGUCAGGGCCACCUGAGACUCAGAACUGACUUGACAAGCCAGUGUGUUCUACUCCUGCACGUGUUCUCUCAAGCUGUGCUAGUGAGACCACGUUUCUGCUUGGAAACCUGUCUUUCUUCAAGAUUCGUGUGGACCGUUCAUGGCCCGGGACGCCUCACCUGGCGCCGGUGCUGGCUCAGCGCAUGUCGUGGGCGGGGCCUGGCGCCAGCCUCUGAGUUUUGAGACAUUUCCUUUCUCUAAUCAGCAGCCUGCUAGUAGCUAUGUAUCACCUGGCUAAAGACUAGCAGGGGGCACUCUUUCUGCCCCUUUCUGAUGUCUGUGUCAGAAGCUUUCUCUAUUUCUUUCGUACUUUAAUAAAAGGUAAUGGCAACCCCACUCCAGUACUCUUGCCUGGAAAACCCCAUGGGCAGAGGAGCCUGGUGGGCUGCAGUCCAUGGGGUCGCGAAGAGUCAGACACGACUGAGUGACUUCACUUUCACUUUUCACUUGCAUGCAUUGGAGAAGGAAAUGGCAAC